rnacentral:rRNA from 1 species
GACGAACGCUGGCGGCGUGCUUAACACAUGCAAGUCGAACGGUGAUGCUCCAGCUUGCUGGAGUGGAUCAGUGGCGAACGGGUGAGUAACACGUGAGCAACCUGCCCCAGACUCUGGAAUAAGCGCUGGAAACGGCGUCUAAUACUGGAUACGAAACUGGCCCGCAUGGGCAUGGUUUGGAAAGUUUUUCGGUUUGGGAUGGGCUCGCGGCCUAUCAGCUUGUUGGUGAGGUAAUGGUUCACCAAGGCGACGACGGGUAGCCGGCCUGAGAGGGCGACCGGCCACACUGGGACUGAGACACGGCCCAGACUCCUACGGGAGGCAGCAGUGGGGAAUAUUGCACAAUGGGCGAAAGCCUGAUGCAGCGACGCCGCGUGAGGGAUGACGGCCUUCGGGUUGUAAACCUCUUUCAGCAGGGAAGAAGCGAAAGUGACGGUACCUGCAGAAGAAGCACCGGCUAACUACGUG